rnacentral:rRNA from 1 species
CACGUAGGGUGCGAGCGUUGUCCGGAAUCACUGGGCGUAAAGGGCGCGUAGGCGGCUCAUGAAGCUGUGGUGAAAGUCCGGGGCUCAACCUCGGAUCGGCCGUGGCGACUCGUGGGCUGGAGCACUGUAGAGGCGGGUGGAAUUCCGGGUGUAGCGGUGGAAUGCGUAGAGAUCCGGAAGAACACCGGUGGCGAAGGCGGGGUCUCUGGGCCGAUACUGACGCUGAGGAGCGAAAGCGUGGGGAGCGAACAGG